UAGAGUCGCAAGACCCUACACCAUUGCGAACGAACCCUACGCCGUUGCCUCGGCGGGGGGCGGUCCCCCACGGGGGGCUUCCUCCCGCCGGCAGCAUGCUAAACUCUGUAUUUUUGGGCCUCUCUGAGUAACAAAGACAAUAAGUCA
rnacentral:misc_RNA from 1 species